GCUUAUACUCGACCGUCAGCGGCACGUGCGAUCGCGCGAGCUUCCGAGCGCGCGCGGUCACGAAGCCCUGACGAGUAGGAGGGUCGCGGCGGUGAGCGCAGAAGGGCUGGCCGCGAGGCCGUCUGGAGCCGCCGUCGGUGCAGAUCUUGGUGGUAGUAGCAAAUACUCCAGCGAGGCCCUGGAGGACUGACGUGGAGAAGGGUUUCGUGUGAACAGCCGUUGCACACGAGUCAGUCGAUCCUAAGCCCUAGGCGAAAGCCGAUGUCGAUGCGGUGUAGUUUUUACGAUAACGAAAGACGACGACGAAAUAAAUGUUAAUUCGUCUCGAAAUAACGCGAAAGCACACACCCGUCGGGCGAAAGGGAAUCCGGUUCCUAUUCCGGAACCUGGCAGCGGAACCGUCAAAAAGUCGGGC
rnacentral:rRNA from 1 species